rnacentral:lncRNA from 1 species
AGGGCUUAUACUGAAAUGAUGAUUAAGGCCAUGGUAUAUGGGGUUUCGGGAAUGAUUCCUAUAUUUACGAAGCUUAUGGUGCUAAAACAGAUAUUGAUGUUUCGCAAAGUUCUCCCAAGUCACCGCAUCCUUACUCGAAACCUGUCUUUAAAACCCGAAAACUUUCGGAAUAACACUGUUGGGGCUAAAGGUAUGGGGAGAUUAGAUUGUACUAAAGAUACACUAUAUUUGGUGACUCGUCAGACUCAUGCAUUAUCUAAGACACUUAAACUGAAAGAAAAAUAAACAACUAAAAGGCAAUAAAAAUAAACAAACUAUCUAAAAACAACAAAGAAAAAGCGAUAAAGAAAAGACGAUAGAGUCUCCUCCCACACUUAAAUCGAACAUUGUCCCCAAUGUUUCGAAAUAAGAUAAGGGAAGAGUUAC